rnacentral:rRNA from 1 species
GCACUCCUACGGGAGGCAGCAUUGGGGAAUAUUGCACUAAUGGGCGCAAGUCCUGAUGCAGCCAUGCCGCGUGUAUGAAGAAGGCCUUCGGGUUGUAAAGUACUUUCAGCAGUGAGGAAGGUGGGUAUGUUAAUAGCAUACUCACUUUGACGUUAGCUGCAGAAGAAGCACCGGCUAACUCCGUGCCAGCAGCCGCGGUAAUACGGAGGGUGCGAGCGUUAAUCGGAAUUACUGGGCGUAAAGCGCAUGCAGGUGGUUUGUUAAGUCAGAUGUGAAAGCCCGGGGCUCAACCUCGGAAUUGCAUUUUGAAACUGGCAAACUAGAGUACUGUAGAGGGGGUAGGAAUUUCAGGUGUAGCGGUGAAAUGCGUAGAGAUCUGAAGGAAUACCGGUGGCGAAGGCGGCCCCCUGGACCAGAUACUGACACUCAGAUGCGAAAGCGUGGGGAGCAAACAGGAUUAGAUACCCUGGUAG